GACGAACCGUGCGAACGUUGUUCGGAAUCACUGGGCUUAAAGGGCGCGUAGGCGGACCACCAAGUCGGGGGUGAAAUCUUUCAGCCCAACUGGAAAAGGGCUUCCGAUACUGGUGGUCUCGAGGGAGGUAGGGGUCGAGGGAACUAAUGGUGGAGCGGUGAAAUGCGUAGAUAUCAUUAGGAACGCCGGUGGCGAAAGCGCUCGACUGGACCUCUUCUGACGCUGAGGCGCGAAAGCCAGGGGAGCAAACGGG
rnacentral:rRNA from 1 species